UGUCGCUUCUUGGCUGCAUCCUAAAAGCCCUUUGUCAUAAUAAAGCCCAGGUAGUCCCUCCUGCUGGGUGAAGCAGCAAGAAAAUGUCAGCCUCCACUUGGAGGAAGUGGGGGUAUUAAGUACUCUUGCCUUCCUUGGGCUGUGGGAAGCGGUGGCAAGCUGCCUCUAAAUGUUGGCAAAUGUUCACCUCAAAGCUUGACCCCUUCCUGCCCGGACAGUAAUUACUGGAUUUUCCAGCAGUAUUUAACGAGAGCAGACGGAUACUGUCCCUGGCCACGGAGAAGACUACAAAAGAUGCACAUAUUGCAGAUAGCCAUCCAAAGGAAUGAAAGACAAUCCGCAGCUAAGGAAGGAGGUGUGAAUAUGCUGGAAGUUAUUUCUGUUUACAAGGACUACCCUAGUUCAUAGAUGUAUCAAAAUUCCAGACCCUGGCAGAUUACAGUCUACUAAGGACAGAUGAAGCAAUGGACUGCAAGUAAACUCUGCUAUUAAUUGGAAUGAAUACUCUCCAGUCAUCAAACAUGAUAAACACCAUGAAAUAUAUAAGAAAACGUGUGAAGAAAAUAUUAUAGCCACAGCUCCUAUGAAAAUAUAAUGAAAAGAGAAAGAACAAAAGACAGCCUGUGGGCUGGGAAUACAACCCAGUUGGUAGAGAGCUUGCUUCCUAUGCACAAGGCCCUGGUUCAAUCCACAGAACCAUGAAGAAAGGAAAAAAAGAAAAAAGAAAAAGGCAAACUGUGACAAGUUAGAUCUUUUGGCUCACUCCUUGACUGCUCUCUGACAUCUCUAGAUUACUGAACAGUUAGCAUUAUGCUGCUUGAAGCAUUGUCUGAUUUAGAGAUCAGACAAUGAGAUGAUGGGGUGGCGGGAGGAAGAAGGGAGGUGGUUCUGUUCUUAACAAUGCAAAGAUAAUUCAAAGAAAACAGAAUAAGAAAUACUGGAGUGGGAAUCAGGCAACCUUAACUGCAGUUCCAACUCUGCCAUUAAAAGCAAAUCCCAGUCUCCCCUCUGGAGACAGUCAUUUGUAUUGGAAUUGGUGACCUCAAAGAUAUUUUAUAUAUAUAUAUAUAACAUUUUAUAUCAUUCUAUAAUAUGGUUCCCAAAAGCUUAAAAUUAAAUGCAAAGAAUUGGUUAGAAUAUCAUGUUCAUGAGGCCAAACCAGUGAGUUUAGAUCCUGCAUGCUUCCCUUGUUCUAUGAUCACUGUCCUCUUAACCCUUGCCCGUAAUCUCACAGAUAGGAAUCACUGAUCACAGUGAGGCCUGAAUCAAUGUGUUUGGGAUACAUUCUCAAAAGUGGUAUAAAAAUGCCACCUGAAUAUUAGGAAAACAAGGCAUAAGCUGCUGAAAACUGUAAGGUCAGUUUGUUGGAAGGCAAUUAAAAAGAUUUCAAAGGAGGCAAGACCCUCUUAAGAGGCUAUGUUUGUGGCUGGGGCUGGGGUUGUGGCCCAGUGAUAGAGUUUCUCACCUAGCAUGCA